UUUGUCCUGAUUAAUUUUCAUUACCAUCUACUUACAGAACAGGUAGUGGGGCCCCUUUGCUUUUCGAAUUACAGCGUCGGUCCUUGAAGGUCUUUGUGUGCACAGAAGAAAUCACUUGUUGCCACCAUGUGGAGUCACGUCCAUGGAAGAGCUCUGGUUUAUUUCAUCGUGCAUGCUUGGAAUGUGGGUUUUCGUUGUUUAAACAGGAUGAACUGAACGAAGCAACCCUGCUCGUGGUCCUACGUGGGAAGCUGGACCACUCAGUUCAUGGUUAAGCACUGAUGGCAAAGGCUUCACUCCGCCUUUCCUGGGAUAACAGCACAAGCGAAGCAUCGCUCUGCACAUCAGCGAUGUGAUUCCCAGAAACCGGGAGCCUAAAACCACUGGUGCAUCAUGGCCGGUCGGGUUUAACCCACCACAAGCGCAAGUUUAAACACAGGAGGGGUCGUAAACACCGAGGCUGGAAACUGUCGGGACGCCGCGCGGAGGAAUAACGGAAUAUAGUCCUUACUUGGCCCAGCUGGAUGGGAAUCAGGUUGACGUUGCCGGAUGUGUUAAUUGUCACGGCUGAGCAGGGACAGUGUCACGGUGAUGAGAAUAAAGUGCUCUGGGAAAACC